UUUCACUAGGGGAGCCAAGUGGCUGAGAGGGGAUUAUAUCCCGACCCUUUAACCUGAACUAGAUAAUUCUAGCGUAGGAAAGUGUGUAUAAU
rnacentral:ncRNA from 1 species